rnacentral:pre_miRNA from 1 species
AGCUUUUUGAAUCCGUACAGAGAGUUCGUCAGACACCAACCCAUUAGGACUGAUUAGACCUUCCAAGAUAAAUGAGGUU